AGCAGUCGCCGCGGUAAUACGGAGGAUCCGAGCGUUAUCCGGAAUUAUUGGGUUUAAAGGGUGCGUAGGCGGAUAGAUAAGUCAGUGGUGAAAGACGGUGGCUCAACCAUCGCAGUGCCGUUGAUACUGUUUAUCUUGAAUAUGGAUGAGGUAGGCGGAAUGUGGCAAGUAGCGGUGAAAUGCAUAGAUAUGCCACAGAACACCGAUUGCGAAGGCAGCUUACCAAGGCAAAAUUGACGCUGAGGCACGAAAGCGUGGGGAUCGAACAGGAUUAGAUACCCCUGUAGUCCCUGUCUCUUAUAA
rnacentral:rRNA from 1 species